rnacentral:rRNA from 1 species
CAGCCGCCGCGGUAAUACGAAGGGUGCAAGCGUUACUCGGAAUUACUGGGCGUAAAGCGUGCGUAGGUGGUGGUUUAAGUCCGUUGUGAAAGCCCUGGGCUCAACCUGGGAAUUGCAGUGGAUACUGGAUCACUAGAGUGUGGUAGAGGGUAGCGGAACUCCUGGUGUAGCAGUGAAAUGCGUAGAGAUCAGGAGGAACAUCCAUGGCGAAGGCAGCUACCUGGACCAACACUGACACUGAGGCACGAAAGCGUGGGGAGCGAACAGGAUUAGAUACCCGCGUAGUCCCUGUCUCUUAUAC